rnacentral:rRNA from 1 species
CGAGCGGUAACGCGGGAGCAAUCCUGGCGACGAGCGGCGAACGGGUGAGUAAUGCUUCGGAAUCUACCCACGGGUGGGGAAUAACCAAUCGAAAGGUUGGCUAAUACCGCAUACGUCCUACGGGGGAAAGCGGGGGAUCGUAAGACCUCGCGCCGGUGGAUGAGCCGAAGUCGGAUUAGCUAGUUGGUAGGGUAACGGCCUACCAAGGCGACGAUCCGUAGCUGGUCUGAGAGGACGACCAGCCACACUGGGACUGAGACACGGCCCAGACUCCUACGGGAGGCAGCAGUGGGGAAUAUUGGACAAUGGGGGAAACCCUGAUCCAGCGACGCCGCGUGUGUGAAGAAGGCCUGCGGGUUGUAAAGCACUUUUAGUGGGGAUGAAAAGCCUGACGUUAACACCGUCGGGUCUUGACCUAACCUACAGAAAAAGCACCGGCUAACUCUGUGCCAGCAGCCGCGGUAAUACAGAGGGUGCGAGCGUUAAUCGGAAUUACUGGGCGUAAAGCGUGCGUAGACGGUCAUGCAAGUCGGAUGUGAAAGCCCCGGGCUCAACCUGGGAAUUGCAUUCGAGACUGUAUGGCUAGGGUGCGGAAGAGGGAAGCGGAAUUUCCGGUGUAGCGGUGAAAUGCGUAGAUAUCGGAAGGAACACCAGUGGCGAAAGCGGCUUCCUGGUCCGACACCGACGUUCAGGCACGAAAGCGUGGGGAGCAAACAGGA